CGGAGGAAGGUGGGGAUGACGUCAAAUCAUCAUGCCCCUUAUGACCUGGGCUACACACGUGCUACAAUGGGCGGUACAAAGGGCUGCGAACCCGCGAGGGGGAGCGAAUCCCAAAAAGCCGCUCUCAGUUCGGAUUGCAGGCUGCAACUCGCCUGCAUGAAGCCGGAAUCGCUAGUAAUCGCGGAUCAGCAUGCCGCGGUGAAUACGUUCCCGGGCCUUGUACACACCGCCCGUCACACCACGAGAGCUUGCAACACCCGAAGUCGGUGAGGUAACCCGUAAGGGAGCCAGCCGCCGAAGGUGGGGCAAGUGAUUGGGGUGAAGUCGUAACAAGGUAGCCGUACCGGAAGGUGCGGCUGGAUCACCUCCUUUCUAAGGA
rnacentral:rRNA from 1 species